rnacentral:lncRNA from 10 species
CACAUGGCCUCUACUCUGUGCGCACCUGGAGAGAGAGCGCCCCGUCCCUCCCUCUUCUGAUGAGGUCACCAGCCCUAUCAGAGCAGGGGACGAGGUCUGGUAGAUCUAUUUAGAAGCUGUGUAUGAGUGUGUCUACUUAAUGGGUUCUCUUCCAUUUCAUCAACAAAAGAACUUUUUCUGAGAGCCUAUCGUGUCCAUGGAGAGCAGCUGAGGUAAAUCCUGGAGGUGACUGUCCCCCUAGGAGAUGAUGUGGAUGGGGAAAUAGUUCAUACGCAGCUCAGCGACCUUGAAGCGGCAUCCGAGGAGAUGUGGCCACGGGGCAGGCGACCGACACCAGCGAGUCCAGAGGGCCAGCGUGUGCACCACUGUGUGUCUCCAGAGACUUCAGGAAGCAGCCACCACGCCCGAGGAAUGCAGGAAGAUGGACACACGGCUGGGGAAGUACAAUGAAAGGCCAAGUAGGCAGCCUGUUCUCCUCAGAUCAGUCCCCCACGAACACUCAUUCCCGAGGACUCAUCCAAUACUAAUAAGAGAAUGCUCUUGUUUUUGAAGAAUUUUCUGAAAGCCAUCCUGACAAAUUAAGUAGAGUAUGCUGAAGAUAGUCAGACUUUGUUUUUAAGAAUUGAAUAUUC